rnacentral:rRNA from 1 species
GUGACAUACCACUUGUUGCCUCGGCGGAUCAGCCCGCUCCCGGUAAAACGGGACGGCCCGCCAGAGGACCCCUAAACUCUGUUUCUAUAUGUAACUUCUGAGUAAAACCAUAAAUAAAUCAAAACUUUCAACAACGGAUCUCUUGGUUCUGGCAUCGAUGAAGAACGCAGCAAAAUGCGAUAAGUAAUGUGAAUUGCAGAAUUCAGUGAAUCAUCGAAUCUUUGAACGCACAUUGCGCCUGCCAGUAUUCUGGCGGGCAUGCCUGUUCGAGCGUCAUUUCAACCCUCAAGCACAGCUUGGUGUUGGGACUCGCGUUAAUUCGCGUUCCCCAAAUUGAUUGGCGGUCACGUCGAGCUUCCAUAGCGUAGUAGUAAAACCCUCGUUACUGGUAAUCGUCGCGGCCACGCCGUUAAACCCCAACUUCUGAAUGUUGACCUCGGAUCAGGUAGGAAUACCCGCUGAACUUA